AAUGGGCGAAAGCCUGAUGCAGCAACGCCGCGUGAGCGAUGAAGGCCUUCGGGUCGUAAAGCUCUGUCCUCAAGGAAGAUAAUGACGGUACUUGAGGAGGAAGCCCCGGCUAACUACGUGCCAGCAGCCGCGGUAAUACGUAGGGGGCUAGCGUUAUCCGGAAUUACUGGGCGUAAAGGGUGCGUAGGUGGUUUCUUAAGUCAGAAGUGAAAGGCUACGGCUCAACCGUAGUAAGCUUUUGAAACUGAGAAACUUGAGUGCAGGAGAGGAGAGUAGAAUUCCUAGUGUAGAGGUGAAAUGCGUAGAUAUUAGGAGGAACACCGGUGGCGAAGGCGGCUCUCUGGACCGAUACUGACGCUGAGACGCGAAAGCGUGGGUAGCAAA
rnacentral:rRNA from 1 species